UUUGAGGAUUUUUUCAAAUCCAUGUUUAUUUUCAUUUAGGUUUUGU
rfam:Aedes aegypti strain Liverpool supercont1.305 genomic scaffold, whole genome shotgun sequence.